rnacentral:lncRNA from 13 species
CACCGGCAAUACAACUCCGUCGGCAGAAGGUCCUGAUAGAGGAAGCCGAGGCAAAGAAGGAGUUGAUGGUGUUGCUUAACCGCAUUCUAGGUUAGAUUCCAGGUGUUUUAUUUAUAUGUAAUGAUCCUUUUCUGCAAAUUCAAUCAGAUUAAUUGGCAGCAGGGCUUCAUUAUCAUGAGACAAGGCUUUCUCCCACAGAGCUCAUCUUUAUGGAAUGGUUUGCCGAUGUGAAAGAGUCAGAUCUUCAAGUCUAGACUGAAGACUUCUCUCGUCUGUCAGUCCUAUGAUUGAGUAUCGUCUUGCCCAUGGGUGGGAAGGUGAACAGAAAGGUACUAGCCCCCACAACCCACCCCACCCAUAAACCUUGACAUCCUAAAACAGGAACGCCAUCUGACCCUAGAGUGUUUUGUACCCUCUAUAGCCAUUGCGGUCUUUGCCUGACCCUGCUGGUCAUCUACAGUAUGAACGUUUGAACGUGUGUUUGUGUGUCCUAUGCCGUUCUGAUUAUCCAUCUGUCUGACAAGCACACCAAGAGCUGCUUGUAUAUUGUUCUUCUGACUCUGCAUUGCUUGAUCUUUGGUGUUUUUAGACAGGGUAUCUGUAAAGUACUAUGUGAUGCUGUUUUACAACUGCUGAUGUAAAAAGGGCUUUAUAAAAUACAUUUGAUUUGAUGAUGAAAUCCUUGCUGUGGUUUCACUGACAAUUUGAUAUUUGAGUAAAAUUCCUCACAUUGUCCAUAAGAUAUUUAUCUCUAACCUGUGAGCAUUGCACAUGUAGAACUCAGCACAACUGCCUGUGUGGUUUAUUAUGUUCUGCAACCCUUGAUUAUGUCGUAGGCAGCACCCAGUCGGACGUGGAAGUUUGGACCCGUAAGACGAAGGAGACCCUCACAGACAAGAGGACGUUGUUCCUUACCUGGCAGGAGAGAUGCGUGGAAACUCCCGCAGAACAACAGUCUGACAUGGUGUCCCCGGCAAUCACAGAUGAAAGGAACGCUCAGUUGACUACUCAGCUUGAAAAAUGGACAAACCAUUGCUGUGCGGCUCUCCAGAAAAUUCAAGCGUACAUCAGAGAGAAUAAAACCGCAGAUCAACGCCUACAAUGGAAGGAACAAGUCACCUUAAUUCCCCCCAAGACAGGAGUAUGUGAAGGUUCUCCAGCAAGACCAUCCAGUCUGGUCCCAGGUGUCCAACAACCUGGGGGACAGUCUGCUCCGGGCAAAGCAGUGUGCAGUGAUGCUGCAUAACAUGUGCCUUAGGGCAGCGGAGGAGAGGCACACAAUACAGGCAGACCUACACAAUGGCCUUUUGUAUUGCCAGCAAGAGCUGGGGCUUUUUAAAGAUGCAUAACAUGUAAAAUGCAGAACAUAUUAAAGCUCCAGCAAGCAUUUUCAAUGUUGGCUGAUGAUGGCUCAGUCAGCACAGAUGUAAAAGAGGACAGUGAAUCAGAAGAUGAAAGUGGUUGAGGAAUGAAUGUCUGUGUGUGUGUGAGUUUUAUAGGGCAAACUAUACACUGAGUAUUUCUAACAUUAGGAACACCUUCCUAAUAUUGAGUUGCACCCCCCCAGCCCCCCUUUUGCCCUCAGAACAGACUCAAAUUGUUAGGUAAUGUCACCUGUACCCCCGCACAUUGACUCGGUACCAGUACCCCCUGUAUAUAGCCUCGUUAUCGUUAUUUAAUUGUUACUUUUGUAAACUUUAUUUAGUAAAUGCAUUUUCUUAACUCUAUUUUCUUAACUGCAUUGUUGUAUAAGGGCUUGUAAGUAAGUAUUGUAAGUAUUUCAUGGUCAAGUUUACACCUGUUGUAUUCGGCGCAUGUGACAAAUACAAUUUGAUUGGACUCUACAAUGUGUGGAAAGCGUUCCACAGGGAUGCUGGCCCACGUUGACUCCAAUGCUUCCCACAGUUGUGUCAAGUUGGCUGGAUGUCCUUUGGGUGGUGGACCAUUCUUGACACACGUGUGAAAAACCCAGCAGCGUUGCAGUUCUUGACACAACGGUGCGCCUGGCACUUACUACCAUAACCCCGUUCGAAGUCAUUUAAAUAAUUUGUCUUGCCCAUUCACCCUUCUGAAGGGCACACAAUCCAUGUCGCAAUUGUCUCAAGCCUUAGAAAUCCUUUAACCAGUCUCAUCCCCUUCAUCUCCACUGAUUUAAAUGUAUUUAGCAAGUGACGUCAAUGAGGGAUCAUAUCUUUCACCUGGAAUCACCUGGUCAGUUUGUCGUGGAAAGAGCAGUUGUCCUUAAUGUUUAUUACACUCAGUGUAUAUGUUUGUCAUACUUGGGACAAGUAGGAUGUUAUGCAGAAAAAUAUGUUGGUAAGACAAGGCUAUGUAUGGAAGUCAGUGAUUUAUGUUACCUAUACUGUAGGUUAAUGAGGCAAUACAAAUGUGAUGUGAUCAACAUAUGGAUUAAAUGAAAGGGCCGAGAUUCAACAAAACCUUAAGAAGACAUUUCUUAACUGUCUUAUGAAGAAGGUUUUAUAACUCAAAAAGGUUAUUGGAAAUGUUAUUGUGCAAUUUCUUAUGUUUCCCAUUAAGCAUAAAGUUGGGAAGGAAUUAGAUUAUUGAAAGUGAAGUUAUUGUAUUUGUUCUUAAUUCCAAGAUGGCUAAACUCUUGUAUUAAACUCGGUGAGAGAAUAAGCUCAUGUUUAAUUGACUCACAAACUUCAUCUGACAUUUUUAGUAGGGUUAUUUUAAACCCAAGAACAUGUUUUAGAACCAUUAUCUUAGUAUGAAAUAUGCUAACUUGUUUGCCAUUUCUAGCUACAGUUGAAGUCGGACGUUUUCAUAUACUUAGGUUGGAGUCAUUAAAACUUGUUUUUCAACCUCCACAAAUUUGUUGUUAACAAACUAUAGUUUUGGCAAGUCGGUUAGGACAUCUACUUUGUGCAUGACACAAGUCAUUUUUCCAACAAGUGUUUACAGACAGAUUAUUUCACUAAUUCACUGUAUCACAAUUCCAGUGGGUCAGAAGUUUACAUACACUAAGUUGACUGUGUCUUUAAACAGCUUGGAAAUUUCCAGAAAAUUAUGUCAUAGCUUUAGAAGCUUCUGAUAGGCUAAUUGACAUAAUUUGAGUCAAUUGGAGGUGUACCUGUGAAUGUACUUCAAACUCAGUGCCUCUUUGCUUGACAUGGGAAAAUCAAAAGAAAUCAGGCAAAAAAUAGUUGACCUCCACAAGUCUGGUUCAUCCUUGGGAGCAACAUCUGGAAUGUGUUGGAGGGAAAUGUGAAAUCGCUGAGAGUCACAACAAGUGGUCUUAUAUAGCUUUUCUGUGCUUCUGCAGAGGAGAAGAAGCGUGUAUUAAGACUAAAAAAGAUAUCGAAGUGGAAUGUUUCCUGUAUGGAUUUUUGUAGCAGGGCGCCUAUAAAGGGGGUUAUUUCUGGGGUGGCACAAGAAGUACUGUAAAGGCAGAGGACAUAACUGAAGACAUACAGUGCCUUGCGAAAGUAUUCGGCCCCCUUGAACUUUGCGACCUUUUGCCACAUUUCAGGCUUCAAACAUAAAGAUAUAAAACUGUAUUUUUUUUUUGAAGAAUCAACAACAAGUUGGACACAAUCAUGAAGUGGAACGACAUUUAUUGGAUAUUUCAAACUUUUUUAACAAAUCAAAAACUGAAAAAUUGGGUGUGCAAAAUUAUUCAUCCCGUUUACUUUCAGUGCAGCAAACUCUCCAGAAGUUCAGUGAGGAUCUCUGAAUGAUCCAAUGUUGACCUAAAUGACUAAUGAUGAUAAAUACAAUCCACCUGUGUGCAAUCAAGUCUCCGUAUAAAUGCACCUGCACUGUGAUAGUCUCAGAGGUCCG